UGUCGCUGUAAUGUUUCCGGUUGCCUAAAGACCUCGUUCACUACGUUCCGCCGCUUGGGAAAGGGUCAUGGGGGAAAACUUUGUUUUGGACUCUACCUGUAAAUUCUGAUCACAGUUGAGGCAUUCAUCCCUGGUCAACAGACAAGACCAAUUCAGGGUGGGAUGAAGGAGAGGGCACUCCCUUUCGCAUGAUGGACUGACAUAGCCAGGAUCUGUGACCUCUGACUGGGCCCUGCUCUGCUCCCUGUUGCUGCAGAUCACCUCCACAGCCACAGCUGCCUGUAAAACAUUUCAAAACGAAGAAAGGGAAGACUGGUGUGUGGGGGUGGUACUGCACAGUCCCCGGUUAAAGCAAGUGCUCGUCAGGAUGAGUGAUGGGACUAUUAACAGAAGACUCUUCGCCCACUGUUUUUGCUCUUGAGAGGCAACUGAGAGCUCAAGAGUGCCUGCCCCGUGAAUCGAGUGAAUCAUUUCCAGUUUCGGGCCAUUCUUCUGCAAUUUCAGCUGGGGCCGAAGACUUCCCAGAGGGUGGUAAAAGAAUAGGGUUGUCUUCACAUGGGAGCUGGAUGUCAAAAUUGUCUUCAGAAGAGGGCUGACUCUCCUCUAACUUCACACUGAGUGUGCUCUCAUGGAGGCUCAAGAGAUGUACCCUGUAAGACGAUUGGACUGGCAACUCCAAAUUGGGAGACACGUAGGGAAUGAUGCACUGACUUGGGAUGGCUGAAAGCCCUCAUUUUAAAGGCAUAAAAGAAUCUGGGUGUGUGGUUCUGUUGUAAAGCAAACUGCUGAAAUCGCCGCCGUCUCCUUGCAUUCUGCCAAGCCACGAACAUUUUAUACGAUGGAAAAUGCGCUAAGUUUAUGGUGCAAUGGUAGGAUUCUUUUUUAAUAUGAUUCUUAUUUUAAAUGGGGAGUACACAGUGCUCUUUGUCUAACCAACACGGGCAGCAAUUAUUUUUGUAAAAUACAAGCAACCCAAUUGGUACCCAAUACUUGGUCAGUCAAGGGUCACAUACUCACGUAACAGUUCCACGCCCGUUAGCAGGUCCGUCGUAGGUAGGAGAGUUCUGAACCCUUCUCAAAGGAUUCACGGCAGACGCCACAUUCAAAGACCGAGACAAACAGCACUUAGAAGCUGGCAUGCUCUGUGUUGACAUUUCAUGAGACCUCUGCCUCUUAUUAUAGUCAAUACUCAGCUCAACCUCAUUCUUUGUUAUUCAUUCCUGAAUAUGUUAGAAGCCCAUGGAUCUAAAACGUUGUGCAGAACUCUUGGUUAUUUCAAUUAAAUUUAAUCUUUAAGGGUUUAACUUGUAACU